rnacentral:lncRNA from 1 species
GGCAGGGCGUGGGGGGAUGGGCGGGUCAUGGAGCUUUCAAAAAGGAGAUAUCGAAGAAUUAUCUUGUAAGGAGACACUAACAGGAAGAAGAGCUGCAAACAACGCUGAGAGAGUGAAGCGCAAGAAGAGAGAGUAGUUACUAGGAAUAAUUUACAAAGAGACUGAUAAUAACCAUUAAUAAGAUCGAACAAAUGUCACAGUAUACUGUGAUCAAAGCUGCAGAACGGUGGGCUCCCUCAGAAUGGCUGCCAAGGGAUCAGCAGGCUUCCUAUUGCUAAACGGUACCGAGGGCUAUAAACAGUGGAUUUGCGGCUGGACAGACUGUUGGAGAUUCAAGGUUAGGGUAAGCGACUGUGAGGAAAGAACAAAUUGACCAUGACAAAGUAAACACGGAAGCCUUUGCCCUCUCUCUCCUCGGAAUGCUAAUGAUCCUGCCUCUCUGAGCUGCCUGUUUGGGCACUGAGUCAUAAAGAUAUUUUUUGAAACUUAUUGGAAUGGUGUCUGUUACCAGUUAUGCUAAACAUGGGACAGAAUGUCUCGGUCUACGCUUAGGACAAAUUCUACCUCUUUCAAGUCACGUGCUGGCCUGCAGCACACAAGAGGUGUGCCAUUUAAAAUGCUACAAGGUGCCGGGUGGUGAUGGCGCACGCCUUUAAUCCCAGCACUUGG